UACGGGAGGCAGCAGUGGGGAAUAUUGGGCAAUGGGCGAAAGCCUGACCCAGCAACGCCGCGUGAGGGAAGAAGGGUUUCGGCUCGUAAACCUCUGUCCUAAGGGACGAAGAAGUGACGGUACUUUAGGAGGAAGCCCCGGCUAACUACGUGCCAGCAGCCGCGGUAAU
rnacentral:rRNA from 1 species